rnacentral:rRNA from 1 species
CAAUGGAGGCAACUCUGAUCCAGCCAUGCCGCGUGCAGGAAGACUGCCCUAUGGGUUGUAAACUGCUUUUAUACGGGAAGAAACACCCUACGUGUAGCGGCUUGACGGUACCGUAAGAAUAAGGAUCGGCUAACUCCGUGCCAGCAGCCGCGGUAAUACGGAGGAUCCAAGCGUUAUCCGGAAUCAUUGGGUUUAAAGGGUCCGUAGGUGGAUAAUUAAGUCAGAGGUGAAAUCUUGCAGCUCAACUAUAAAAUUGCCUUUGAUACUGGUUAUCUUGAAUUAUUGUGAAGUGGUUAGAAUAUGUAGUGUAGCGGUGAAAUGCAUAGAUAUUACAUAGAAUACCAAUUGCGAAGGCAGAUUACUAACAAUAUAUUGACACUGAUGGACGAAAGCGUGGGGAGCGAACAGGAUUA